rnacentral:rRNA from 1 species
CCUGCGAAGGUGUGCUGUGAGGCAUGCUGGAGGUAUCAGAAGUGCGAAUGCUGACAUAAGUAACGAUAAAGCGGGUGAAAAGCCCGCUCGCCGGAAGACCAAGGGUUCCUGUCCAACGUUAAUCGGGGCAGGGUGAGUCGACCCCUAAGGCGAGGCCGAAAGGCGUAGUCGAUGGGAAACAGGUUAAUAUUCCUGUACUUGGUGUUACUGCGAAGGGGGGACGGAGAAGGCUAUGUUGGCCGGGCGACGGUUGUCCCGGUUUAAGCGUGUAGGCUGGUUUUCCAGGCAAAUCCGGAAAAUCAAGGCUGAGGCGUGAUGACGAGGCACUACGGUGCUGAAGCAACAAAUGCCCUGCUUCCAGGAAAAGCCUCUAAGCAUCAGGUAACAUCAAAUCGUACCCCAAACCGACACAGGUGGUCAGGUAGAGAAUACCAAGGCGCUUGAGAGAACUCGGGUGAAGGAACUAGGCAAAAUGGUGCCGUAACUUCGGGAGAAGGCACGCUGAUAUGUAGGUGAAGUCCCUCGCGGAUGGAGCUGAAAUCAGUCGAAGAUACCAGCUGGCUGCAACUGUUUAUUAAAAACACAGCACUGUGCAAACACGAAAGUGGACGUAUACGGUGUGACGCCUGCCCGGUGC